rnacentral:snRNA from 1 species
ACUCAUACCUGGCAGGGGAGAUACCAUGAUCAUCAAAGUGGUUUUCCCAGGGUGAGGCUCAUCUAUUGCACUUUGGAUGUGCUGAUCCCUGUGAUUUCCCCAAAUACAGUGGUGCCUCGUAUAACGAGUGCCCAGUUUAACGAUGAAUUCGCAUAGCGAUGGCAAAAAUGCCAUCGCUUU